rnacentral:rRNA from 1 species
UGUCUCUCUUCUCUUGUGGNGAAAUUAACAUUUAGGUGCGGAGGCCUGGAUUUAGGAGUGGGACGAGAAGACCCUAUAGAGCUUUAACUUUAAUUAUAAAUGCUUAUUAUGGUGAUCGUUUUAGUUGGGGCAACUACUUUUGUAAUUAAACAUUAGUGAUGGUUUAAUAAAUUAAAUUUUUGAGGACCUUGAAGUUUUCAGGUAAUUAGAAAAAGUUACCUUAGGGAUAACAGCGUAAUUUCUCCUGAGAGUUCUUAUUAA